CACUCCUGCGGGAGGCAGCAGUGGGGAAUAUUGCACAAUGGGCGCAAGCCUGAUGCAGCCAUGCCGCGUGUAUGAAGAAGGCCUUCGGGUUGUAAAGUACUUUCAGCGGGGAGGAAGGCGAUAAGGUUAAUAACCUUGUUGAUUGACGUUACCCGCAGAAGAAGCACCGGCUAACUCCGUGCCAGCAGCCGCGGUAAUACGGAGGGUGCAAGCGUUAAUCGGAAUUACUGGGCGUAAAGCGCACGCAGGCGGUCUGUCAAGUCGGAUGUGAAAUCCCCGGGCUCAACCUGGGAACUGCAUUCGAAACUGGCAGGCUAGAGUCUUGUAGAGGGGGGUAGAAUUCCAGGUGUAGCGGUGAAAUGCGUAGAGAUCUGGAGGAAUACCGGUGGCGAAGGCGGCCCCCUGGACAAAGACUGACGCUCAGGUGCGAAAGCGUGGGGAGCAAACAGGAUUAGAAACCCGUGUAGUCCC
rnacentral:rRNA from 1 species